GCGGAAGAGAACAGAAAGCAGAGAGCGCUGCAGCUGGAGCGAGAGCAAAAGCUGGCGGCUGAGCUGGCGAGGCAGGACCUGGAGAAAAUGAAAGAUGAGAAGAUCAGGCAACAAGUCAGAGCAAACAGAAAUGGGAGGAUGAAGUAGCCCAGGAGAUGAAGGAAGAGUAUGACAAGUAUCUGAAAGAAGAAAUGUCUGCAGAACUGAGGAAACACCAGGAGAAGAAAACAUACCAUCAAGAACUGGACAAACAGGUUGAGGAACAGGAGAAGAAGAAGCAAGAGGCUUAUGAAGAGUUUCUAAGAGAGAAACACAUGAUUGAUGAAAUUGUAAAAAAGAUCUAUGAGGAAGACCAAAUGGAAAAACAACGGAAGUUAGAUAAAAUAAGAGAAACUCAGACAUAUAUUGAAGAGUUUAUAAAAGAACAAGCUAUGUGGAGGAAAAGGAAACAGGAAGAGAUGGAAGAAGAAAAUAGAAAAAUUAUGGAGUUUGCCAACAUGCAACAAAAAAGAGAAGAUGGUUGGAUGGCUAAAGUUCGAGACACUGAGGAGAAAAAACAGAGAGUUCAAGAAAUGGUUGCCAAGACCAUGGAAAGAGAAGAACAGAGGCGUAAAGAACAGGAACAAAUCCUCCAAGAUCUGUAUCUGGAAGAACAAGAAGCGAUGGAAAGGAAGAAGGAGAUGGCAGAAAUUGAAAAGAGAAUAAGGCAGCGCCUAGACUUAAGGCAAGCAUAUGAAAAGCAGUUUGCUCUGAAGGCAGCAGAACAAGAAGCUAUGAGAGAAGAGGACAGAGCUCUCCGGCAGCGGAUCUUGGCCAAGCUGGCCGAGGACGAUCGCAUUGAGCAGCUGAACGCGCAGAAACGGAGGAUGAAACAGCUUGAACACAAAAUGGCCAUGGAAAAAAUUCUGGAGGACCGCCGCAAACAGUGUAUUGCAGAAAAAGAGCGUGAACUUGAAGAAAGAGAGUUAGAAAAGAGGAGACAAGAACGUAUCCGUGCAAUUAUUGAAGAGGAGAGACAGAAACUCUUGAAAGAGCAUGCAUGGAAAUUGCUGGGUUAUCUUCCUCGAGGAAUACUCAAAGACGAAAACGACAUUAACAUGCUUGGAGAAGAUUUCAGGCUGGCUUACCAGCAGAGAAGAGCAACGCAGCAGAAACCUCACCUAGCAUGUGUAUUCCAGUCUGGACUGAAGGAUUCUCCUAAUGCACUAGUUCUGGGAAGAUGUGGCUGGCACUGGCACUACACUACUGCAAUCCUCAUUCAAAUGUAGUGUGUCUCAUCUCCACGAGGCAGAUCUGAGGUACUUCACUGGUAGGACCUAAACAGAUACGUGGUGUCAUUCUGAGGUCAGAACUACUCUUUAUACCUUUCUUUCAGUGCCUAAACUGACUGUUUUUGUCCCAUGUUCUUACUCACUUACUCUGAGGGAUGAAUUCGUUGAAAUAGCUGAGGUGUGGCAGAGGUUCAUGGAAGCAACACAGGCUUGUAUUGAUCCUGUUCAUUAAUGUACAUAAAAUAGGCUCAGCUCAUCUACUCUGAAUCUGUUCUCUAGUUACUGAUUACAAUGAUGAAUAAUGAAAUUUUUAUGGGUGAAUAAGGAGUCAUUGCUCCCGUCUGUAUCCCAAAGAAGCAGCUGAUGGCCAGGGAAAGGUUUAAUACUUUUCACCUUGACUGAAGGAACAGUUUUGUACAAUGCAGCUCCAUGGGACUGUGGAGUCUGUCUGGGUGAUGAGGGGCAAAAGUCUCAUGUACGGCUAUGCCAGCCAGGGGCGCUCAGAUGUAAUCACUAAAACAAGUUAUGGUCAUUUCUAUAAAAGUGCUGUUGGUGCUUAAAUUAGAUGCCAGACCAGCUAGCUUUGAGGGGAGAUCUGUUACAGAGAACAGACAAGGCCAAUUUUCCAACCACGUGUUUUAAAAAGGACAUGACAUUUUCUUCUCAAGUGGAUCACUGGUUAGUUUAUUUCUGUUGCAACGAGGAAUUUUCUGAGACUAAAUCCUGACUUCCUUGGACUGAAUAUGACCAUAGGUAAGGUACAGUUUUAAAUGCUAGAAGAGAGCAAACUGAUAACAAAGUUCACUUGUUGGAAUACUCCUUGCAUAGUCUGUGCUUCUCUGUUCCUUACAGAAUGGGUGGGCAGUUUGGUCUGACAAUGAAGUAGAAAUUUGUGUUUCAUAGGACAUUACAACACAAGCUAUCAGGCUGACAAAAGUUUAACUAUUUAAACAGAAGCAAAAUCAACAAAAUCAAUUCAGUGGGAUAUACAGUUAUUAACUAUUAACAAGGACUCAUAUACAUCUCAAAAUAAUGUACCAUCUGACUCAUCUUUCAAACAGAAGUUAUUUAAUGGGAUCAAUAAUUUCCCCACUCAAGAGCUUUCAUGAAUUCCUCUUCGGUAAAAGAAAGCAUCUUGGCAGCUUCAAUGUGCAUCUGAAAAAAAAAAAAAGUGAGCAGAAGGUGAAAUAGUAUGAAUGACCAAUACAAAAUCCUGGCUAACUGGGAUAUUUUAUGGAUUUUAAUAAAGCACAAAAAUUCCUGAAAAUCUGACAACUCUUGUGACUUCUCUUGAAGAACACAUGUAAGAAAACUGGUCCACGUUCUUUCAAGCGGAUCAAUAUUCAAUUUAACAUUAAAGCUAUUACAAAGCAAAAUUCAUCCUACUCCUAAUAUUGAAUGUCUUUGGGGAAUUUUUUCCCUCUAUCAUUCUUCAGGCUCUGUCUGCUCUGUGCAUCUGAACCUGCCACACAAACACUACACAAAUAGCCUAAAUCAGGUUUUUCUAAUUCAUUCAACAAAAGGCCUGUUUGAAACAGACUUGAAGUCCUUCCACUGAUUGUGAAUACUGAGCACAUGUGAACUUCAGCUGCCCUUCCUCAGUGCCUUCUGCCAGAAGCUGCAAGGGGCAGGGUUAGCUCCAGUCUCUUCAGAAAGAACAACUUACAGCAUCCUUCUGUGAGUAACACUUUUUGUAUGAAAAGGAGAUUAUCUGGUUGUGACUUAAAAGCAGGCUAAUGAUCCAGGAUACAUCAAGUAUUCAAAUUUAAGAUUCUCUUAACAUGAAGUGAGUCCUGUCUUAGAUUCAUGACCUACUGGCAAUUACAUCCCACAUUAAGCAUUAUAAUUCAAGGCAUUUUUCUUUUACAACCUUUCAAACAUUGUAAGUGAAUACUAAUGUAGAUUGUUUCAGAGACACAUUAUGCCCUGCUUUUAUUUAAGCAAAAGGAACCAAGGCAUAUACAGAAAUGGAAUUUCUGUGAAAAAAGUCUCUCUCUGCUGUUCUCUCAGCCCCUUGGAAUACAAGCUUCCCACCUGGGAAAUCUGUAUGCUUUAUCCUAAGCUUCUCAUGACUUCAUGUACCUCAGAAACUCCCACCUCUUUAAAUUUAAACAGAUUUACUGCUUCCUUAUAACAAUUGGACUGUGAAUUGGAACCAAACCCAGAAUCUAUCUCAAGGCUUUGCCAAAAAUGAAAUUUUUGCGACCUUCUGAAUGUAAUAGUUAUUUUCACACCAGAGAAACUAGAACCCAAAAUGAUAAAUUUACAUACAAAGUGCUAAGGGAGCAGGACUAGAAAAAUUACAAGGUUGUCUUCUGUCAUCUGCUACAGUAACUGAAUUCUGUCGUGAUUUUGGCAUGGAAUGAUGAAGUUCAAUAGCUACUGACAAAAUUAUAUUUGAUUUGAAAAUUACUUUAAAAUCUAAUGUACCAACUUUCUUCUGACCACAGCAUAGAAGUAUUGAAAUGCAGAAGAGCCUGUGUUGAUAAAAAUACAGAUAUAAAAUAUCAAAAUCUAAUUACUUCUAAAGAUUUUCUUCAUGUACUUAUCUCAAAAAGCCUGUUUACUAUCAUCCUGCUCCUUAACACUAAAUUAAAGGCUUGUAAGAAAAUAUAUAGGUGUUUUGCCAUAUGUUCUUAAUGUCAUCAUCACUUCUGGGCCUGGGGAAUAGGCAUUCUGAAGUUAAGAGACCACAAAUAAAAAUAGUGCAGUUAUGUAAAAUGGAAAGUUAGUUCAAAAACCUUGCUUGAUUACAAAUACAUGAAUAAGAAGUGAAUCUCUCUGGCAGACAGAUAUGAACUACUUAAGUUUUUACAGUUCAAGAGCUGUUUGAGCAUCACUUUAAAAUAUACUGCCAGACAGUGCAGAUCAUAAAACUCAUUUGUACAAUCUACCAGUGAAAUAUCAGUGUAGCUUUACAGUGCCUGAAGUUCAGUCUGAUCUGCCCACAUAUGUAAUUCCAAGUACUGUCCUCUGCAACAGGUGUACAGAGAAAGCCUGAUUUCUGUUUUGAUUAUAAUAUUCCACUUAAAAUGGAAGCUCUUUCCACACUUUGAUCCACUGACAAUACUGAAAGCACCUGACUGUAUUUCUCAAGAUUUUCUAUUUCUCAAGCUGGUCUAUUUCUCAUUCUACUCUAAACAUCCAUCUCAGCCUAGCAGCCCACUCUAGGCACCACUCCCCUUCUCUCUGUACUCCACCAUCUGCAUUUCACCACUGCUGUGUCCUCCUCCUUUUUCUCAGGCUCCCAAUACAGAAAUUACCACCCCAACUCUAAAUUUGUAUGGUAUUUUUAAAAAAUAGAACAUUAACUCUUAAUACUUGAAACAGAAAAGUUGAGAGAAUUCUGGUUUGGGAUUAUUUGUUAAAGAGGAACCUAUUCCAUUUCUAGAUUAAAAAAUUAAUCCCUUACCUUUUUCCUGCAUUCAAACACUAUAUUUGCCAGGUCUUCCUGCAUCACACGUAAUUUUGCCUUAAGAAAUCUGAUUUGAGCUUCUGUGAGCAUAAAAAGUUACAUUUAAUAUACACAAGUACUCAUUAUUCUAUGCAGACAAGAACCAAAACUGAUGCAAGAACUCACUUUCAUCUUCUUCUAUUUAAAACCAUAUGACAUUGUUUAUAAUUAUUGAAGAGACAUAGGCAAAUAAAAA